CUCUCUCUCUCGGUCUCUGUCAAGCUUGCCUGUACUUUUCCUUUUAUGGAUAGCUUCAUCUCCCUGUUAGACCAAAACUGUGUUAGAUAACCAGUAAGGGCCAUCAACUAAACCCCUUUAAUCCUAAUUUCUCUUGAGGGGCUUUCCAACCUCGGGGAACUUUUUGGCUAAAAGAAAAGCUCAUCUCGGCCUAUAUUCGUCUGAACUUCUGACAACGUGGCAACCCUUCAGCACAACUCCUUUCACAAAAGACCAAUUUCAUAUUUAGUGGGGUGAUUGUUUUCGGUUACUUGACUGUGGGUUCACGCUGGUGAUGGUCAAAUGCGCAGAUAAUUGCAGCAUCAAUGCAACUGACAUUUGGAAAAUAAUCAAAUGUUAAACUAGCUUUUAUGUUGACAUUUUCUGACUUUCAAAAACAUAGACUAAAUAUGCAAGUCAGAAUGCAUCAAUCCUCCCCAGGUAUAAAUCUGUGUGGUAUAAAUCUGCUCCUUGAACAUCUGUCUGAUACUUCUUUGUAUAAUGUAUGAGGAAAUGCAAGUGCACUGAUAUGACACACAGGAUCACAACUAGGGUGACCAGACAGCAAAUGUGAAAAAUCGGGACAGGGAGUGGGGGGGUAAUAGGAACCUAUAUAAGAAAAAGACCCCAAAAUCGGGACAGCUGGUCACCCUAAUCACAACACAGACUGACGUACAAGCAGAAGGACAUAAAUAGACAAGACAGAGGUGCUAUAGUUGUUACCUAAACACAAAAUCUUACACAAGGUGAAGAACCGCCAAGCUAUGGGAAAGGUGAUUCCACGUCUCAGGAAGGAUGUUUUUCAUGCUCAUACUCACAGAGUAAAACAUACUCUUCGGUCUAGAUUUGUUUUCAUUUCAGGUCAAGGAAAAACAUCAAAGAAAGGGCUUAACCCUAAGAGACACUAACCACUUCCUGCAAGGUCCUGAUCACCCUGAACUCCCACUGAACUAGUGGGUGCUGAGCACUUCUCAGAAUUGGGCCCAAAGACUGAACAAAGAGAAAUUUUCCAUGACCGAGAAAACAGAGUGACUGGAACAUGCUGCAUCUUAAGGACAAGAUGGCAGCUGCAUUAGGCAGGGAGAAAAAUCUACUUUUAAAAGUGUAAUCUUUAGAAAACAGCCUUUAAUUGGUAUUGCUACGUGUAGAAAGACUAGUUAGACAUAAUAGGCAAGAUUCUGUCACCCCUACUCACACUGAGUAAUACCUCACUCUACUAACACUGAUUUCAAUGGGGCUUGCUUGUGGGGUAUUGUACUAGUCAACAUAAGGGGGAGAGAAUCUGGCCCAACAUGAGACCAAUAUCAUGAAAAGAAACCAGAUAACCCAGAGUAGAAGUCAGUUACAGUGAUUGGUGUAAGAGGAUCAGAGCCAAAGCCUGACAAUAAUUUUUUUAUAUAUAUAUGGAAAGAGAGAGAUCAACUCUCAGAGCUCAUCCAGAGCUCUGAGAUAAUAAUAGAGAGCCUCUGACUAAGCCAGCCCUGAUUACAGAAUGGGCCCCACCUGAGAGAAAUUAGGUGAUUCCAGGUUUAACUACUGAGUGGGCCCAGCUGAGGAAGGGCUGGAGGAAAGAGAAUGCAGAGAGUCAAAAGGUGCCUGCAGGGGCUUGAGUGAGCACCCAGGGGACAGAUUGGGAGACCGAGAAGGGAAGGAAAGAGGUGAGGAAGGAAAUGGUGCAGGGAAAACUGCACUAUGGGUAGAGGAUUUGACUUGGUUGUGCAGUCCAGGGCCCUGGGCUGUAACCCAGAAUUGAGAUUGGGACUGGAUUCCCCUACUAGCCCUCAGCAAGUGGUGUACAAGGGUAGCUGAGCCCAGGAAGGGGGCUGCAGUCUGAAUGUGACCUCGCUGAAGAAGAGCUGUGGAGAGGCUGGAAGCUUCUGAUUUCUAUUAAGAGAGUUUAGAACUUUAGUCUGUUCCUUCCAGGGUCAGCCAUCCGCACUAAAGACUGUGCCCUGGCUGGAGGGGUGAGUUAUCUAAAAGAAACCACCACAGCCCCAGAGUGACUGUUGACAAGGGCUGCUACCCCACAAGGAUACUGUGAUGCCAUGCCUGGCCAUGAGGCAGUGCAGGGUGGUCCUUUGGAAGAAAUGAACUCAAAGAUUGCCUACUUGGAACUUCUUCUUUUUGGAUGGGAUAAGUAUUGCUGACAUCAUGAAGCACAAGUGGAGAAGAAGGAAGUGUCAGGAAUGCCACACACAGAGGAGAAAAGAAGAUGGAGGAAAAGGAAAGGAACUCUGGGCACAGUAACCAACCUCAAAUCAGGCCUCAGGUCAUGUAAUUAGACUGUAGGGGAAUCUCGAGCCUCUUAAUACCUUGAGCAGCGUGACCGCCCUGUAAGCUGGGUCCCGGUCUGUGCUAUUGUGUCGUUUUGACAUUCUGCUCCGUUAUCUGGCUAUUGAGGGUGACUGCCCUGUCAUCGGGGUGCACGUCUCCUCCCCCUGUCUUUGGAGGGGCAUUGAGCUCUUUGUUAAUCUGAGCAAUGUGACCGCUCUGUAUCUGGGGUCUGGGUCUCUGCCCUCUUGCUCAUUUGGCUUUACGCCGUGCUCUGCCCCAUUAGUCAGCGUGACAACCCUGUAAUUAGGGUCUAUGUCACAAGCCUCUCUAGGAUAGGACAUAUUGAGCUCUUUGGUACUUUGAGAGCUUGACCUUCCUGUCAUUCAGGUUAUGGUCUCUCCUCUUUGGCUAAUGCCAGCGACCACGCUGUAAUCAGGGUACAGGUUGCAUCUCGCUUUUGAAAUCUGGGUAAUUAGAAUCAUUUCCGUUAUGUGGGCAGCUUGGCCUCCCUGUAACUAGGGUGUGCGUCUCCGAGGCCCUCUGGGUCUCUUGGCCUCGUGCUGUCUUCACAACCUGUUGCGAACGACUUCCCUGUAAUCAGGGAUCGGGUCUGUGCCCUCUAGUCUCUUGGCACUUGGCCAAAUGCAGCCACUGCCCUGAAUGAGCACCCUGUAAACAGGGUACAGGUCUUAUCUACUACUAUUUCUGGCACCCCCAUGAGACUGUGUCCAGAGUUCCGGCCCAUCCAACAGCGCUUCCAACAUGCCUGGAAUUCUGCAGCCAAGUCUCCUGCUUUCUACUCACUUCUUGGACUCUUGGAGACCUGACAUGCUAUUGGUGGUACGAUCCGAAAGUGAGUGUCCGGGGCGGUUUUGGACCGUUGUCGAAAGCGGUUCUCAUUUACACACGCCUUGUGCUCCCUCUCUCUGAUUCAGGCAUCAUGAAGCAGAAGUGGAGAAGAAGGCCUAACUUGUGUAUUUCUCACACAUUUCUAAAAGGAAGCAAACAAAACUAAAUGUUCUGGCAACUGGCAGUUACUCUCCGCACUUCACAACUUUCAAACACCUACUCUACUUAAAUGGUCACACCAACCAAAGUGUACCACACAUUCAAUAUUAACUUUGCACCUAUUGUGUCAGAAGUGAGAGUGUUUUUAGUAGUUGUGUCCAUUGGUGGAAGUGGCAGUCGUGGUGUUUUAGUAGUCUUUUACGCUUCUUGAAUUCAAAGGAUGAUGAUGUGGAUGUUUUAGGUAGGUAUUUUUCUGUUAAGUCUUGGUAUUUGGGUAGAGGUGCAGUAUUUUGUGAUUAUGACUAUUUUUCUGGUAUUGGUUUAGUGUGAAUUGUUGGCAAUUUUAGAUGUUUUUGUAUCCGUACAUUAGUAGAUGUCUUUAGAGGGGAAAGCUGAGGUUGCCUGUUUGGUGAAAUUUGAUUGGUGUGAAAGUUAAUUUCGGGUAGGUGUUUGAAAGCACUGAGGUUUGAAUUUUUAGCUCAACAGGGAUGCAGGAUCCACCUGGCUACCUCAGUUCUUACUGUCAUUCCUAAUUCCAAAAUCUGGGAUGAAGAUGACCAGGCAGAAUAAAGAUAUCUCCAGAGACUUUCAAGAGGGUAGCAUUUCUGCAGCUUUAGGGGAUCCCUUAAACCUUAUUGAGCUUUUCAAAGUGUAAUAAUUGUGGAAAACUUCCACUUCUGCCAAUUCCAUGUUGAACAAUGACCUGUAUUAAAGGACUUACACUGGUAGUUAAUUCUGUUCUGUAUUAAGAUGAUUUUGCUAAAAUCGCCGCUUUCUGAUGUGUGAAAUGAAUUAUCUAGGUCUGAUUAUACCUAUUUGAUAAAAGUGUGAUAACGACCCCAUGUUAAAUGCAUGGAUUGAACUUUGAUUGUCAUAUCACAUUGCUUUGCUUUC